UGGAGAUAAAAAAGGGGAGUGACUAGGUUGAAUAGUCCCCUGUGUUAGCAUGUCUGACACCUAUUUCUCAAUCUCAUUUUUUUGAAAAUAAUUAUAUCUGUAGGUCUGAAAUUAACUGGUUCUGCAUCCUUCUUUAAGGGAAUAUGAUGAUCAUGGCUUCUUUGUGGUGGCAGGGCUUCUGGUUCAAUAAAUACAUCAGGAAAAUCAUCCAAGAUCAGCUGGAUUUCACAUGGAAUCACCUCUUUGUCCUCAACACUAGUAGCAGUAACAGUAAAAAGGUAAGCCUAAAUAGCUUGCCCUUUUUUGAAUAGUUAUUUUACACUAUCGGCCGACAUACUUUUCAACUCUAUUUGGUGGUAUAUUCCUUUAAAUUCCACCCGCUUAGCUUUGUGAGUCACCUCCACCGUAUAUUCUACAAAGUCCAGGAACACUGGAUUAUGGUCCUUCAUCAAGUCUCCGUCAAGAAUGAUAUCAUUUCCACCCAAUCUUACCAGUCUAAUGGAGUCCACAGAUUCAACCCCUUGUAUCUUCCACUUGAAAUUAGGACAGAAGUGUCAACUCAGAAUACGAAUCCCAUUUGUAUCGCGUUUUAGUUACCGUCAUUGUUAGGGCGAGGAUUUGCUUUGAUACUAAUUUGUACUGAAUUACCACUGAAAUUGUAAUGGAAUGACUCAAAUUGCACAAUACAAGUAGAAUUGAGGGUUUUUAUUGAUUUUUUUAGAGUUAUUAAAGUACUGCAGUCCAGUGCUACAUUCAAAUACUCUAAUGGCAGAAGCUUUUUAGCGUCUAUCCAUGGUGAUUCACCUAAAAUUGAGAGGUUGAGAAGAAGAAUUUAGAAGAAGGAACAGAAGGAAGAAGGAAGAGAGAGAAUUAUUGAGAGAGAGUAAAAUACC
rnacentral:lncRNA from 1 species